GAUUGAACGCUGGCGGCAGGCCUACCACAUGCAAGUCGAGCGGAUGAAGGGAGCUUGCUCCUGGAUUCAGCGGCGGACGGGUGAGUAAUGCCUAGGAAUCUGCCUGGUAGUGGGGGAUAACGUCCGGAAACGGGCGCUAAUACCGCAUACGUCCUGAGGGAGAAAGUGGGGGAUCUUCGGACCUCACGCUAUCAGAUGAGCCUAGGUCGGAUUAGCUAGUUGGUGGGAUAAAGGCCUACCAAGGCGACGAUCCGUAACUGGUCUGAGAGGAUGAUCAGUCACACUGGAACUGAGACACGGUCCAGACUCCUACGGGAGGCAGCAGUGGGGAAUAUUGGACAAUGGGCGAAAGCCUGAUCCAGCCAUGCCGCGUGUGUGAAGAAGGUCUUCGGAUUGUAAAGCACUUUAAGUUGGGAGGAAGGGCAGUAAGUUAAUACCUUGCUGUUUUGACGUUACCAACAGAAUAAGCACCGGCUAACUUCGUG
rnacentral:rRNA from 1 species